CCUACGGGAGGCAGCAGUGGGGAAUAUUGGACAAUGGGCGAAAGCCUGAUCCAGCCAUGCCGCGUGUGUGAAGAAGGUCUUCGGAUUGUAAAGCACUUUAAGUUGGGAGGAAGGGCAGUAAGUUAAUACCUUGCUGUUUUGACGUUACCGACAGAAUAAACACCGGCUAACUCUGUGCCAGCAGCCGCGGUAAU
rnacentral:rRNA from 1 species